UACAGAGGGGGCAAGCGUUGUUCGGAAUUACUGGGCGUAAAGGGCGCGUAGGCGGCCCGGUAAGUCCGCUGUGAAAGUCGGGGGCUCAACCCUCGAAUGCCGGUGGAUACUGUCGGGCUAGAGUGCGGAAGAGGGGAGUGGAAUUCCUGGUGUAGCGGUGAAAUGCGCAGAUAUCAGGGGGAACACCAAUUGCGAAGGCAGCUCGCUGGGACGUAACUGACGCUGAGACGCGAAAGCGUGGGGAGCAAACAGG
rnacentral:rRNA from 1 species